UGAGCUCAAAUUUAAAAUCUGGCAGUCUUACUGUCCGAGUUGUAAUCUGGAGAAGCAUUUUCCGUGUCAGACCGUGUACAAGUCUCUUGGAAUAGAGCGUCAUAGAGGGUGAGAAUCCCGUCCAUGACACGGACCGCUGAUGCUUUGUGAUAUGCUCUCGAAGAGUCGAGUUGUUUGGGAAUGCAGCUCAAAAUGGGUGGUAAAUUCCAUCUAAAGCUAAAUAUUGGCGAGAGACCGAUAGCGAA
rnacentral:rRNA from 1 species